AACGAACGCUGGCGGCAGGCUUAACACAUGCAAGUCGAGCGCCCCGCAAGGGGAGCGGCAGACGGGUGAGUAACGCGUGGGAAUCUACCCAUCUCUACGGAAUAACGCAUGGAAACGUGUGCUAAUACCGUAUACGUCCUUCGGGCGAAAGAUUUAUCGGAGAUGGAUGAGCCCGGGUUGGAUUAGCUAGUUGGUGGGGUAAAGGCCUACCAAGGCGACGAUCCAUAGCUGGUCUGAGAGGAUGAUCAGCCACACUGGGACUGAGACACGGCAGACUCCUACGGGAGGCAGCAGUGGGGAAUAUUGGACAAUGGGCGCAAGCCUGAUCCAGCCAUGCCGCGUGAGUGAUGAAGGCCCUAGGGUUGUAAAGCUCUUUCACCGGUGAAGAUAAUGACGGUAACCGGAGAAGAAGCCCCGGCUAACUUCGUGCCAGCCGCCGCGGUAAAAC
rnacentral:rRNA from 1 species